rnacentral:rRNA from 1 species
GAGUCGGACCUGCCCAGUGAAUAACUUUUAACGGCCGCGGUACUCUGACCGUGCAAAGGUAGCAUAAUCAUUUGCCUUGUAAUUGAGGGCUAGUAUGAAUGGUUUGACGUGAAUAAAACUGUCUCUAUAUAAUUUUUCAGAAUUUGAUAUUUAGGUGAAGAAACCUAAAUACUAUUGAAAGACAAGAAGACCCUAUUGAGCUUUAAAACAACAAAUUAAAUAUAGUAUAUAAUUUUAGAUACUAAUUUAUUUUCAAAUUUUGGUUGGGGCGACUAUGGAACAAAUAAAGCUUCUUUAAUUAUAUUAAAACUUACAAGUUUUUGAUCCAAGAAAUUUUGAUUACUGAAAUUAGUUACCGUAGGGAUAACAGCAUUAUUCUCUUUAAGAGUUCUUAUUGAAAAGAGAGUUUGUGACCUCGAUGUUGGAUUAGAAUAUCCUAAAGAUGUAGCAGUCUUUGAAGGUUGGUC